rnacentral:rRNA from 1 species
UACGGGGGGGGCAAGCGUUGUUCGGAAUUACUGGGCGUAAAGGGCGCGUAGGCGGUCUCUUAAGCGUGUGGUGAAAGCCCGGGGCUCAACUCCGGGUCGGCCGUGCGAACUGGGGGACUGGAGCUUGUCAGAGGCAGGCGGAAUUCCGGGUGUAGCGGUGGAAUGCGUAGAGAUCCGGAAGAACACCGGUGGCGAAGGCGGCCUGCUGGGACAGUGCUGACGCUGAGGCGCGACAGCGUGGGGAGCAAACAGG